rnacentral:tRNA from 1 species
CGGGGCGUGGCGCAGUUUGGUUAGCGCGUUGGUCUGGGGGACCAAAGGUCGCCGGUUCGAAUCCGGCCGCCCCGACCA